rnacentral:tRNA from 1 species
AGUCUAUUAGUAUAGGAGAGUACUCUAGUUUUUGGUGCUAGGAGAGGGUGGGUUCCCCCAUAGAUAG